AGUUGAGGCAAAGCUGAAGAUGUAUUUGGGGAAGUUCAAAGAGUUGGAAAGUAGAGUAUCACUUCAGGAGGUAGAAACUGCUAAAACUCGUACGGUUGAUGUCUCAGUGAUCCAUAAAAUGGCAGAAGAUGCUGAUGUUGUAGAAGUGAAUAGUAAAGCUUCUGGUGCUGCUGGAGAUCUUCAGGAGAAGCAGUUGUCACCACCUAGGGCUCCACCAGUUGAUUCAACUGGAAAUGGAAA
rnacentral:misc_RNA from 1 species